GGACUAGGAAAGACUUUACAGGCAAUUUGUUAUUUAUUUGUUUUCUUUUCUUUUACUAUUUUAUGUGGAAAACUACAGUGUUUCCACGAGGAUAUAAUAUUGUAGUAAUAAUCUCAGUGAUAGCUUUAUGCGGGAUGACUGCUUGCUAGGCUGCUAGCAUUCUCUGAGUUGCGUGAUAGUUUUAGUGAUGUAUAUGGUUGACUCUUAGGGCCUCAAUAAAUAAUCCUUGUUUGUUGUCAUGCCUUGACAUAGGAUAAAAAAUAAUCAGCUUUAGCAUCUUUUGUCUGCACUCUGCACAUAAGGAUGUACAUCUAAUAUGCACACAACUCACUGUGUUGCAUAACAUGUUCUGAUUAUGCUGUGAGAUUGUUAUUCCUGUGAAACCACGGUUAGAUUUUAUGAUUAUUUUAUUUUUUACAUUUUACACGUCAUACUUUUGUGCUUGCAUUUGGAUAAUAAGUUAAGAGGCAGGUACCUUGGUGUUUUGAUACUUUGGUUUCCUCAAAGCAAUUUCUGCUCUUAGGCAUUGAUGUUCUGAAUCCGAUAAAGGAUGGGAAAGAUCAUAUUUGGCUAAAUUAAUUUUUGGAGCGGUUAGAUUCAACUAAAUGUAAAAAGGCCUGAUAGGCAAUAGUCUUUUAAAUGGCAAUUAGGUCAUUCUUUUUCCCUUUUUAAUACAAUAUUGUUUCAUGUGCC
rnacentral:misc_RNA from 1 species